UGAGGAAUAUUGGUCAAUGGGCGAAAGCCUGAACCAGCCAUGCCGCGUGCAGGAAGAAUGUCCUAUGGAUUGUAAACUGCUUUUAUUUGGGAAUAAACCCCUCGACGUGUCGAGGGCUGAAGGUACCAAAUGAAUAAGCACCGGCUAACUCCGUGCCAGCAGCCGCGGUAAUACGGAGGGUGCAAGCGUUAUCCGGAAUUAUUGGGUUUAAAGGGUCCGCAGGCGGACAUAUAAGUCAGUGGUGAAAGCCUACAGCUCAACUGUAGAACUGCCAUUGAUACUGUAUGUCUUGAAUUUGAUCGAAGUGGGCGGAAUGUGUAAUGUAGCGGUGAAAUGCUUAGAUAUUACACAGAACACCGAUAGCGAAGGCAGCUUACUAGGUUAUAAUUGACGCUCAUGGACGAAAGCGUGGGGAGCGAACAGG
rnacentral:rRNA from 1 species